AUGGCGAGCGCCGCCGAGCACCGCGUGCCGAUGCCGGCUGAUCCUCCCGCCGGCGACCGCAAGGCCGCGCAUCCUGAGAAGCGGCUGGACCGCUUCGUGCACUCGGUCGCGCCGAUGGAGAGGCUGGGAAACGCGCUGGGCAUGUUUGCGCUCGCGUGGGCGACCAUCGUCCUGCUCGGCGGCUACCCCACGCAGCUCCGCCGGCAACAUUUCUUGAUCACGACCAUCGUAAUUUUCAUGGAAGGCGUGGGGAAGUUCUGCCGCAACAAAAACAGGCUGGAUUACCAAUUGUUCUUCCGCACGAGAGGUGCCUUCAGGUCUCUUGGACCGGAUGCGCUGAUCUUACUCGUAUGUUUUUUCAAUGUUCUGGCGUGCAUUGACUCCAUAUGGGGAAAUAAUAAUGUAGUGGACAAACUGGCUUUGUUAAUGAUGAUACUUGUGAUUGGCACAAUUCUAUUUCCAGAGACUGCAAUACCACCCAUGUGCAACCCCCUACGCCACACACUAUCAUUAUGGAGCCCAGUGGUUGCAAUAGUACUGCUUUGCCCCUCUGUACUGUACAGGGUCGAUGAUGAUUCCAUUGACAGACUCAGUUUGAAAGCCUCAACUACCAAGCUGACAGUGUACCUGAUACUAUCUGUGGUCGUGCUUCUACUCACAGUAAGCAGGCUGCAGUUCCCAAGAAUAGUCAAACUAGUAGACUGCACUCUUGGUAACAAAAUAGUAUUUUGGCGUCGAGUUAUUAUGAACUUGUGCAUGUUGGCUGCAAUGGUAUUGCCCAUCGUCACUUCUCAUGGCGAUGUAAGAGGGGCGAUGAUCAUGUUAGACAUAUUUGGUCUAAUGAUAGCGUCAUUUGGCAACCUCCAGAUUCCUGCAGCAGUAGUGCGCAUUGGACUAGCACUGUGGGGCCUUAUAGUUAUAAGGCAAUACUCACACGAUGAUCAUGAAAAUGUUGACCAGACAAAUCUUGGGAAAUCCCAGUUAAUCUUUUAUUUGAUGGUGCUUGGCCAGGGAAUACUCUAUAUUGUUGGUGGCCUCCUUGAGAUUUUCUCGUUCAUCCUACGGCGAUCCCUCACCCGUCAUGCUGGAUUUAGAGGUCCCCAAGGAUUGGAAUAUGUCAAUUUAUACUAUGCAUAUGUCUUCGACAAAUGCAUGAAAGGGGCUGUGCUUGCUCCAGAGAAGACUAGCCUCAUCACAUUUGCUGUGGAUUCUUUAAAUUCAGGCUCACCCAAGAAGCAACUCUAUGGGCUUAAGAUGCUGCUCACCUUUCUCGAAAAGGAUCCCUUAAAGACCAAAGCCAUAUCGGAACUCACCACUUCCAUAAAGACAAUGACCUGCUUGAUCAGCAUGUUGGGUUGGACGUGUGAAGGGGAUAAAGAUAUUAGAUUAUGUGCUGCAAAGGUCACAGCCAAGCUCGCAGAUAACCUCUACAUUGUCCCUAUCCCUGGGGCAAUGCAGCUCAUAGCCUCACUUCUGGACACUACUCACCGGCAGAAAUUAAAGGAUCCUCUUCUGGACAUUGGCAGCCCUAAGGCAAAACAGGAUAGUCCGAUUCAACAAGUUAGAAGGAAUGGACAUACCUCCCCGAUGCUUAAAUGGUUGAAAGAGUUGUCAAUAUACUGUUUGAUUCCAAGGAAGGAGCCAACUAACAUGGAUGAACAAAAUUCCCAUGUACUCCGAUGCUGGAAGCGGAUUACAAAACGUUGGUCUGUUCCAGAGGAGGAGCCAUCGACAGAUCAAGAUCACCUACCUUUGUUGGGCAUGUUAAUUCUUGGCAAGCUUGCCAGCUUUGAUCUUGAGAACUGUAUAGAAAUCAGCAGAGCAACUGGCCUCAUCUCAAAGAUCAUAGAGUUCACAAGCAGCAGAACUGAAAUGACUAAUAUUAAUGAGACACAGCAGGCACUGCUGAAAGGUUCAUCACUGGAGCUGCUGACAAGAUUUUCAAGUACUAAAGGGGAAUUUGGUGUAAUUAUGCGUCAGAGGAUUUCAGAACAUCCCUUCCUUUUGAGCCAUCUUGCAGAUAUCUUGGAUGACAGUGGGAGUAGCCAAGAACUUAGGGAGCUCACGUCAGAACUCCUUAGAAACCUGGCCAUGGAGGGAAAUACAAAGGAGGAGAUUGGACAAAUCCGAGUGAUCAUUAGCAGGUUGAUGCAUGCAUUUCUCAGCCAAGAUGCACUCUCAAGUACGGAUUCAGGUCAGCGGCUACGAAUGAAAUCAGGACAAGCACUGGCAGUAUUGGCAAUGGAGAGUGCGAAUAACUGUUCCGUUAUGUUAGAAGAACCAGGGUACGUAUUCAUCAAGGAACUCACACUUAUGAUCCAUAGUGACAGGUACAGGUACGUAGCAUCAAUCUUGUUGCGGAAUAUGUGUGUGCAUGUUCGACCAGAGCUUUUCAACUCUGACCUGAAGGAAAUCUCCUACAUCGUGAGAGAGGUACUGGAAGGAAUAAUGGAUGCAGAAGGGAAAGAACUGGAGGUCCUUGUUGAUCUUAGUUCACAAAUAUAUAAUGCCACUCCAGACGAUUUUGCGCGAGAACUAGAGCAUGGUCAGAUUAAGGAGACAUUUAUAAAGAGGCUUGUCAAUGCACUUAACUCAAAUAUGGUACCCACUGCUCACUGUCCCGGCAUCAGGAGGGUGAUAGUUGAACAUGCCAUAUACAUGAUGGAAUCCAAUACGGUCUAUGCUAGCUGUUUCAAGAACUGUGGGAUGAUGGAAGCACUACUAGUGGUAGAGCGUACACCUUCAAGGGCUGAAAACUACAGGUUCUUCUCAGGUGAUGCAGGACUCAUGGAGCACAGCAUACCUCUAUCCACACUUGUGGCUAGAGCAAAAGAACUGAUGGACCGCGAGUAG
rnacentral:rRNA from 1 species